rnacentral:rRNA from 1 species
AGCUACACAUGCAGUCGAGCGGGAUUAGUAGCAAUACUAUGAGAGCGGCGCACGGGUGCGUAACGCGUAUGCAACCUGCCUUAUACAGGGGAAUAGCCCAUGGAAACGUGGAUUAACGUCCCAUAGGAUCACGAGAUCGCAUGGUUUUGUGAUUAAAACUGAGGUGGUAUAAGAUGGGCAUGCGUCUGAUUAGGUAGUUGGUGAGGUAACGGCUCACCAAGCCGACGAUCAGUAGGGGUUCUGAGAGGAUUACCCCCCACACUGGUACUGAGACACGGACCAGACUCCUACGGGAGGCAGCAGUGAGGAAUAUUGGUCAAUGGCCGAAAGGCUGAACCAGCCAUCCCGCGUGCAGGAUGACGGCCCUAUGGGUUGUAAACUGCUUUUGUACCUGAAGAAACCUGUCUACGUGUAGAUAGUUGCCGGUAAGGUAUGAAUAAGCAUCGGCUAACUCCGUGCCAGCAGCCGCGGUAAUACGGAGGAUGCGAGCGUUAUCCGGAUUCAUUGGGUUUAAAGGGUGCGCAGGUGGGGAAAUAAGUCAGUGGUGAAAUACUGCCGCUUAACGGUAGAAUUGCCAUUGAUACUGUUUUUCUUGAGUAUGGUUGAGGUAGGUGGAAUGUGUUGUGUAGCGGUGAAAUGCAUAGAUAUGACACAGAACGCCGAUUGCGAAGGCAGCUUACUAAGCCAUUACUGACGCUGAGGCACGAAAGCGUGGGGAUCGAACAGGAUUAGAUACCCUGGUAGUCCACGCCGUAAACGAUGAUCACUCGCUGUUUGCGAUAUACAGCAAGCGGCUGAGCGA